AUAUUCAUGCCAGGAAAUAACUUCUUGUCCCUCGGCUAUAUACCAAGAUGGAUCAAAUGCAAGGAUCGUCCCAAGCGUUCGGAGAAAAUCUGACGAUACAUCCAGUCAUCAUAUUGUCGAAUGCCAUACAAGUAAUGUCUGUUUAAAGAACCCUUGCAUGAACGGAGGAAGGUGUCAGGAAAAUUACGAAGGAUCGUACUCCUGCCAGUGUGACUUUGGUUACGGCGGAAAAACAUGUGACCACUUUGUGCAGCUCAUCAUCCAAAACAUUGACGAAGAGCAAAUUAUGAUCGGCAAUACAUCAGAUUUGUCAUUUUCAAAUUUACUCUCUCUGAACUUCACAUGCCUGGGUUUUGUUCUCGACAGCUAUACCGACACCUUAUAUAUCGCUGCAAAGCCUGCUGUUAAUACACCAUUAGAUGAUCCUACGGACUUUGAGAUUUGGAUGACUAGCAUUAACAACGACUCGAUAGUAUAUGUAACUAAAA